rnacentral:rRNA from 2 species
AUGACCUCAAAUCAGGUAGGACUACCCGCUGAACUUAAGCAUAUCAAUAAGCGGAGGAAAAGAAACUAACAAGGAUUCCCCUAGUAACUGCGAGUGAAGCGGGAAAAGCUCAAAUUUAAAAUCUGGCAGUCUCUGGCUGUCCGAGUUGUAAUCUAGAGAAGCAUUAUCCGCCUGGACCGUGUACAAGUCUCCUGGAAUGGAGCGUCAUAGAGGGUGAGAAUCCCGUCUUUGACACGGACUGCCAGGGCUUUGUGAUGUGCUCUCAAAGAGUCGAGUUGUUUGGGAAUGCAGCUCAAAAUGGGUGGUAAAUUCCAUCUAAAGCUAAAUAUUGGCGAGAGACCGAUAGCGAACAAGUACCGUGAGGGAAAGAUGAAAAGAACUUUGGAAAGAGAGUUAAACAGUACGUGAAAUUGCUGAAAGGGAAACGCUUGAAGUCAGUCACGUUGGCCAGGGAUCAACCUUGCUUUUGCUUGGUGUACUUUCUGGUUGAUGGGUCAGCAUCAAUUUUGACCAUUGGAAAAAGGUCAAGGGAAUGUGGCAUCUUCGGAUGUGUUAUAGCCCUUGGUUGCAUACAAUGGUUGGGAUUGAGGAACUCAGCACKCCGCAA